CUAACCUGAAGCUCAUUAAUCUGGUUGUUCAUAGAUUGAAGAGUGGUGUAGGUGGGGGCAUCAUACGAAUUGGAUCGAGGAGUGAUGAAUGCAUUAAGCUCUGAGUGUUCAUCUAUUGAAGAGUAUUUCUCAAGUGGAGGUGGUAACGCCACGUGUCGUCUUGCCAUUGGACCCUGAUUAUUAUUAUUAUUUCCUGCUAUUCGAGGGUAAAGCGCUGCUGGUUGUCGCAUAACAACAAUAUUGUUAACAGGACCUGCCACCACAACAAAGAAAUAUAAAAAAAAAAUUUGUAAUUAAAAGAAAAGUAACUAAAAUAUUAUUUUUUUUUUUUAAAAAAAAAAACGUUACCUUUCGCAUGUUUAAAAACACGAAUGAUAUUACGAGUUUUAGUGUCCCAAACACGAACCAUUCCAUCCUCUGAUCCAACAACCAAUUGAAAUCCAUCCAAUGCAAAACCCAAAGAGCAUAUCGCCUUACUGUUUUUUACAAAUACAAUAAAAAAACAAUGGAAUUAGAUUAUUAAUUUAAAAAUAUUAUAUUGUGAAAAAGUUUGGGUUUCGCAUACCUUUGAAUAGACAAUGCGCCAAUGAUAUGCAAACCAUAGUUGUUGUUGUUAUUGUUAUUGUUGGAUGUGGUUUGAGCAUUGAGUUCUGCAAUGUUAUUUUCCCAUCUCUUCCACCAGCAUAAAAAACAUGUUCCCCUGGGUCUAAUGCAAUUGCAUCAAUUAUUGAAGGAAACACAAUAUUUCUCAAUAAUGUCCCUCUAGCUAGGCUCCAUACCUGUAAUUUAAACAAAUUUCAUGAGGACAUUCACGUCUUUUUCCGAAUAUUUAUGCAAUAUGUGCCUUGCAAGUACGAUCUAGAGAAGCAGAUAAGCUAAUUGCAUUGGAUCCUCCAUAGCCUGUAACAAUGUCUGUUACAGGUAAAGCAUGACCAGUGAAACUAUACUCAUACAGAUGUCCUGCUCUCUGUUGUCCUUCCUCAUCAAAUAUCCUAAUCACAAGAUGUAGAAAAUGUAUUAUUGUAAUAAACCCUAAAAUUGCAAAUCAUGAAUGUAAAAGGGUAAAUGAGUAAUUAUACAUACAUCAGAAGUGACCAGACUCGAACAGUUCCAUCCUCGGAUCCAGAAAUCAAAAGUGAUUGAUCAUUAGAAAAGACCAAGCAAGUAACAGGCCUAUAAUGGCCAUGCCAUUUCUUCAAUAAUCUACCUGUUGCAACCUAUGAUAAAAGAUCAGUUUCUUACAAUAAAGUGUAUACAGUAAAUCAAAAUAAUAGAGUUAUCAAUAUAAUUUGAAGAGUGAUUUAGAUAAAAGGAGAGAAAUCGCUAAAAGAGGAUUGAUUGCUUCAGCUAUUGACAUCUCAUUACUCACCUCCCACAAGUAAAUAUGACCAGAAACACCUCCUCCUACUAUGUAAGUGCCAUCACUAUUGCAAGCAAGAGGAUUGAUUGCUUCAGCUGGAAAACUCUUAACUUCUACCUGAGGCUUUCUUGAGAGUUUCUCAAACCAAGCACGAGGGGCUUUCUUGAGCCCAUACAAAGCUUUGCGAAGCCGACAAACCUCCCCCGGUCGGUGCUGAAUUCCUGGAGGAGGGGUCAUAUAAACCUAUUAAUGAAGGUUACCAUUCAAAAAGGCAUUCUCAUUAGACAAUGGUAUUUUCAGCUUUGGAACAUAGGCGUACUUGAGAUGCUCGGGUAAAGUUUUAAGCUCCAAUUCCGGUGCCUACACAAUAGAAGGAACAAGUUUCUCAUUAGAUAUUGGUAUUUUCAGCUUUGGAACAUCAAACCUCAUUUUCUUCUUCUCAUCCAUGCAAGACACAACCUCCAUAAUCUCUUUAUCAAUUGUAAAUUGAUUGGCAAGUUUUUCCACUCUUUCCUUUUGAAGAUUCCUGUCUAAAAUGAGAGCUAACACAUCAAGAUUAGACAACUCAAAACACUCCUCUGUCAAUGGUUCAAUGACAUCCAAAAAAUUCAAAGAUGAAAUAUCACUUGGAUAUCUCAUAGCAUCAUAAAUAUUGAAAUUUAUCACCUCCCCAUCAAAUUCCAUGGACAAUGUACCAUCAUAAACAUCAAUUUUUGUCCUGGCUGUUUUCAAAAAGGGUCUUCCUAGGAGAAUUGAACUCAAAUUUGGUGAGUCAUCAUCAUCCAUGUCAAGGACAUAAAAAUCUGCUGGAAACACUAAUUCAUUCACUUGGACUAACAAAUCUUCUAGCACACCUUUGGGAUGUACUAAAGAUCUAUCAGCCAAUUGAAUGAUUACCCCGGUCUUCUUCAAUGUGCAUUUAAAGUUUUAAAAAUAGAAUAUGGCAAAACAUUGAUAGAAGCUCCAAGGUCUAGCAUAGCUCGUGGAACAUGAAGAUUACCUAAUUUGCAAGGAACCAUGAAAACACCCGGAUCCUUAAAUUUUUGAGGUAGUCUUUUUUGUAACACUGUAGACACAUUUUCUCUUACUUUAACAAUUUCAUUCCCUUUCAACUUUUUCUUGGAUGUACAUAAUUCCUUAAGAAAUUUAGCAUACCUAGGGACUUGUUUGAUGACAUCAAUAAGAUGAAUAUUUACCUCAACCUUCCUGAACAUCUCCAUGAUUUCAUUGUCUUCCCUUUCACGCUUUGACUUGCUUAAUCUUGAGGGAAAUGGAGGAGGAGUGAGUUUUGCUUCAAUAGGAACUUGCUUGGAAGGUGUUUUUGACUUCUCUUCUUCUUUCUCUAACUCUAUCUUUUCUUCUUCUUCAACCAUCUUAGGACUUUCAUAUUCUUUUCCAUUCCUCAAAGUGAUGGCACAUGCACUAUGUUUUGGAUUCUUUUCGGUUUGCGCGGGUAGUUUGCCUUGUGACUCCAAUUUACUCACAGAAGUGGCAAGUUGAGUCAUUUGUUGCUCCAAAGUCUUGAUGCUCGCCUUGGUCUCAUUUUGAAAUGUUUGAGUACUUGUGGCUAAACUCUUAACAAUGUCUUCCAAAGACAUUCCUGAUCCGCUUAAACUACUUCCUUGAUGCAUGUUUUGAGGUUGGAAUUGAGAUUGAUGAGGGGGUUGAGUUGGCUGGAAAUGUAGUUGAUAACUUUGUUGGUGAUGCGUUUGAUUUUGAAAUGGGUGUCUUGGUUGAUAAGGUGGUGUUCUUGGCUGAAAAUUGGCAUUAGGUUGAUGCCAAUUUGGAUUGCUUCUUGGCUGGAAGUUUCCUUGUUGUUGACUUGAAAAUCCCAUAGCUUGAAUUGGCUCUACAUCUUCUUGUAAGAUUGGGCACAUAUCAGUGGGAUGUCCAACUUGUGUACAAAUACCACAAGGUCUAACUGUUGGUGGUUGCACACCCUUGUCCUUUGCAAGCAUCAUCACAACUUUAGUCAACUCAGAAAGUUGACUUUCAAUUUUUGGGGUAGAAAUUUCUUUCACUCCUCUUGGUGCAUCACUGUACCAUUCUUCUUCUUGGACUGUAUGCUUGGACUCUUCUGCCUUGUUCUUGAUAAGAACUCUGAUUUCUGUUGGAUUCUUAUCAGCUAUAGAUCCACCACUUGAUGCAUUGAGUAAUCUCAUAUCCCAAGAUGACAUUCCUUNCCUUCACAAAAAUACUGCAGCAACUGAUAUUCUGUAAUCCCAUGUUGUGGACAUCUUGAGCACAAUUUCUUGAACCGUUCCCAAUAAGUAUGCAAUGCUUCUCUCUUUUGUUGCUUGAUGCCAAUUAUCUCUCUACGUAAAGCUGAAGCUCUCAUUUCGGGAAAAUAUUUAUCCAGAAACAUCCUUGCAAGUUCAUUCCAUGUUGUGACUGACCCCGGUGGUAAGUCAUACAACCACUCCUUGGCUGAAUCUUGUAAAGCAAAGGGAAAUGCCCUUAACUUGAUUUGAUCUUCUGUGACUUCAUGUGGCUUCAUACCCACACAAACAACAUGAAAUUCCUUAAGGAAUUUAUGUGGGUCUUCAUUCUCAAGACCACGGAAUGAGGGUAACAAAUGGAUGAGUCCAGACUUGAGUUCAAAGUUGAUUGCUGCAGGGUAAUUUAUGCACAAAGGUUGUUAGGUGACAUCUUGAGUGGCCCAUUGUCUAAAGGUUUGUUUAGGUGGUGGAUGUGGAGGAUUUUGGCCAUGGUUGUCUCCCAUGGUAGGAGUAGAUAUAAAGGUUUCAGAUUCGGGUAAAGGUGCAGAAAGGGUUGAUGGAUUUGAUGAAGAAGCUCCGGAUUGUUGUUGUUUCUUUAAAAGUCCGGCUUGCUUCCUUCUUUGUUUAGCAGAUUUAUCUAUCUCCAAAUCAACUGGUAAAGGUGUACCUGUGCGAAAAGAUCUUGGCAUAAACAAUUAGUACUACCGUAUCCCCGACAACGGAGCCAAUUUGUUUGGCUGUCAAACCAACAAAUAAUGGGAUAAAAUAUAUUAAUAAANCUCAAAUCACUGUUAUUUCUUAUACUAAAGAUAGUAUAGAGUAAGCAGGGUCGGUCCACAGGAAUAUAGGACUUCUUAUCUUGCCAUAUUUUCACACAUAAUACAAAUAAUAUUAAAAUGGGGGAUUGUAUUUGAACUCGAAUUAAACUUCAUAAAUAAGCAAGAUUGAUAACAAAACGCAGUAAAAGAAGUACAUUUCCUAUUCUGAUUCCUAUACAUGUAUUAUGUUGUAGGAUGUAAUAUGACUAUGAUUCAUGUUUAAUCUAGGUUGGUAAUUUAGAUAUUAACAAGCUCUAAUACCCAAGUUGACAAAAAUGUUUUAUUCAAAACAUGUUCUUCAAAUAAAACUUCAUUUAAUUGAUUUAAUUCAAAUAAGCUCUUUCAUCAAAUCAUUAAAUGACUUUAAGUUCUUACAAUAAUUACCAACAAUAUUCAAUAUUCCUCAUAAACUUGGGAUUAUGAACAUUUAAUCUUUGAUUACACUCAUUUUGAUUUAAUUACAAUCAAUUAAGUGCAUGUUACUAACAUCAAAUCAUAAAACAUAUACGAAUUUUACAAUUUGAUUAACUAGAUUGAUAAAAACCCUAAUUCAUUGAUCAAGUGAAAAUGAGAAUAAAUAAAACACAUGAUUAAGAUCAAAUCAAAGAUUACUAGAUGUUAAACUCAAAUCAAGUUCAAGUUACAACCUAACAACACAUACUUAAGAAUUCAGAUUCGGAAAUGAUAAUGAAAUCAACCACACAUGUCUAGGUUAAUAUACAAAUCAAACAAGUUUAAACUUCAAAUUGACUUACAAAAAGGAAAUUAAAGUGUUUCCAAGUGUUAAUCUACUUCCAAAAGUUCUGAAAAUCGCCUUCUCUCUGCCCAAAAUCCGACUUAACUUCCAACUAAACUGAUUGUCUGAAUUAUAAGAGAAUAAAACUACUUUUAAAACUGUCGAGACGUUUACACGGCCCGUGUAAACUAAUGGGUGCCAUUUACACGACCGUGUAAACUAGAAAAGUAGAAUGCUCAAUCCGUCCAGGCCUGCGAAGUAGAAUGCUCCUGUAUAUGCGUUUACACGGACCAUGUAAACUAUAAGCUAUCAUUUACAUGGCCGUGUAAACUCCUGUGAAGCCAAAUUCUUUAUUUCUUCAUUCUCUCUCUCUCUCUCUCUCUCUCUCUCUCUCUCUCUUUAAUGCUCCAAAACUUCUGAAACUUUAUCUCCAACUCUUUUUAACUUCCUCCAUCAAAAUCUAACCUUCAAAAGUCCCUGAAAUAUCAUAAAAGUGUGUGAAUGAAAUUGUAUCAUGAAAAAUCUCAAAAAAAUAUGCACAAUGCAUGAGUUUAAACCUAAAUGCAAUGCACUUUUAUGAACUAAAACUACAAAAUGAAUGCAUGAAAUGCACCUAACAAUAUCAAACCUCUGCUCUGAUACCAUGAUUACAUUGUCAUAUGACUAUAACAAAGAGAAAUUACAAGGGUUCUCAGAGAAAAACAUAAGGACUACAAUGAAUAAAGCGAAUAUAAAUAAAGCGAAUAUAAAUUACUAGCUAGACAGAAACUCUAAUGGGCUAAAGACAAAAUGACCCAUAAACAAGUGGGCUAAUAAUAUACAGACUAACAAUGUGCACAAGGAAAAAGUUAGAAAAUAUAAAGUCUAACAUAUCUUCUCAUACAUGUGUUGGUCAAAACGUAGUGUGCGUUGUUGACGAGGAUGACUUCGUGGGUGAUUUCCUAAUAGAAACAUAGUACCCCUCAACUUCAACGGAAACAUAGUUGACGUGAUUAAGUCGUUAAUACUUAUUGUCGAUAACUCCAUAUAAUAAGGAGUUUGAUAUUCUACUUUGGUGGAAACACAAGGCAUCUCGUUACCCGAUUGUAUCUCACAUGACAAAGAGUGUAAAUUUAAUUAUUUAUAUACUUUUUAUAGUAUUUAUUAUAUUUAAAAAUUUGUACGGUAAUGUUGGUAGCUGUUUUAGGAAUUCAAAUUUCUAUUUUGACGUCUAAUGCAACUUCUAGUACAAACAAUCUUAUAUUAGAUGUGUACCAAACAAAAUUGUCCACAACCAUAAUAAAGGCUUUGGUUUGCACUUAACAUUAGGUAAAAAAAUCAAUAAAACCAACUGUGGACAAUAAAAAAAAAUCAAUAAAACCAACAUAGAAUAAGUUCUAAACGAUGAUUAUGUCGCCAAAGGUAACAAUUUCUUGUUAUUACUUAAUUAACAAACCUUUGAUUAUGUACUAACUUCUUUGUUUUAUUUCUGGUUUACAUUAUGGUUAGAAGACACGAUAUAUAAUCGAGGUAAAAAUAGGAAAGAGACAAUAGAAUUUACCUAGUAAUUAGUUGGUAUAUGAUUUAUUGGCUAAUGGUUAUUGUUUGUAUGUGAUAUUAUUGUUGACCAUGUAAAUGUUUGGUUGAUAUCAAAUCAUACGGAUAUGAUUAAUGUCUAAUUGGUAUUUCAACUUUGAAAUUAGAAUGUUUGCCCAUGUUAUGUUUAUAUGUACUUGGAAAUUAUGAUCAAAACUCUAAAAACAUCUACCCACUUGGAAGGCAUGCAUGUUAAACUAGUACCCAUAAAUAUAUACAAAUUUUUGUAUUUUUCACUUGGAAAAUCAUGUGUGUGGUCAAACUGAACUUCCAAUCAUACCAACACAUUUACCUUUCUUACCGAUAAUGGCAAACAUAUAACCUAAAACUUGUCAAAUAAAUACAACUUUUAUGUUAUACAUUGCCAUUAUCAAAAAAAAUGCAAGUGCCUUGUUAUUGGUAUACUUAUUACAAUUAUCCAUAAAAAUGUAACUAUGUUGUUAUGGGUUUACAUAUUACUAUUAGCGUGAAAAAUGUAAGUAUGUUGCUACUAUGAAUUAAAAUCAAAUAUCGUAGUCUAAAUUUACGAAAAAAAAAAAAACAAACCUACUAAAUUUGGAACUAGGGUCGAUACUCUCAAAUAUAUAAAAUUCAACACAACAAAAUUUUGAAUAACAUGAUAAAUAUAAUAUGGGUAAGAAGGUAUUGAAUCAUAAAGUAGAACUUGAAAAUUUUUAGAGCAUCAAGUUGGUUUCAUCGGCUUCUCCAUUUAAGAGCUCACCAACACAAAAUUGAUUCAAAUUUUGAUACAUUUUCUUCCAUUGUUGGACCAUUUGCAUGGAUCUUUUGCAGUCUAGUUUUAGUCUUUCCAGUUCCAUUUCAGAAGCUCCAGAAGAACCAUGUUGCUGACAAAAUUUAUGAAAUGAUUAAAACGUAAGAAACACUAUUCUUUAUAUGAUAAUUAUUAUAAUAUUAAAUUUAAAUUUAGAAGAUAAAAAUAACUGACACUAACCUGAAGCUCAUUAAUCUGGUUGUUCAUAGAUUGAAGAGUGGUGUAGGUGGGGGCAUCAUACGAAUUGGAUCGAGGAGUGAUGAAUGCAUUAAGCUCUGAGUGUUCAUCUAUUGAAGAGUAUUUCUCAAGUGGAGGUGGUAACGCCACGUGUCGUCUUGCCAUUGGACCCUGAUUAUUAUUAUUAUUUCCUGCUGUUCGAGGGUAAAGCGCUGCUGGUUGUCGCAUAACAACAAUAUUGUUAACAGGACCUGCC
rnacentral:lncRNA from 1 species